GCGCCGCCGCGUGGGGGAGAGCGGCCGCCGGCACAGCGCAGCGCAGCUCGCAAUCAUGUAGCAGGAGAGGCAGGAAGACGCUCGGAUAUUAACUGGUGCUUGCUGGGUGAUGGUUACUUAUGGGAGAGCCGGUGGCCGCUUUCCUCUGCAGGGCGAUUCGCAUUAAAGCACGGCGCCAACAUUAAAGGAAAAAGGAUGAAUGGCGCGAGGGGGGAGGAGAGCGUCGCCCACUUAUCAAAGCUGCUCCGUGCUCGGGGAUGGGCAGCAGAUCAAAACGCACAGCGUGGCUGACACCGGGGCACUCUGACAUCGCUUUGGACUCCUUUCACUGUUUGCCUUCCCGUGCAACGCUGCUGUGUCAGCUUGGCUUGAGCCGGCCUCCGUUUGCACCGCGGCGGUUGAGCGGUGCCACCUUGUGCCUCAGUUUCCCCAUCGGUGAGGUGAGGAUUGAGCAGAGCCUCCGCUGCAGCGUUCAGCAUCACGGCUCUCUGGGGGUGAUGCACCCCUCCCCGUGUUCCAUCCAGCCUCUGCGGGUGGGUCCAGCCCUCAGCAUCACUCAUACCUCUGUUUCCUUUAGUUCUUUGCCAGUGUUAGUUAAUUAAACUAUGCAAAUUAAAACAACUUAAUUUAUAUAAUAUCAGUGCCGGAGCCUCAAACCAUUUGGUGUAGCUCAUCUGGCACGUACGUUACAUAAAAUGUUUGGAGCGGCUCUAAUAAAAAUGA